CGCACUUGUGUGAUGAUUACAACCAUAACUUGGGAGACACGCCAGCGACUGGACUGACUGUCCGACAUGAGUCACUGACACAUCCAUGUACUACUCUACUCAUGACUUCCAGGUGUUUAGUGACCCUGACCGCGUUACCAGCAGGCUGUCUCAUACACUGGCUCCGGGGAAGCACUGGAGUCCUUAUGUGCCAGCACUGAUGAGGGAACACAGCGGCCCGAGCUGCUACAGCUAGCGGCGGGUUGCCAUGACAACGCACAGUGAUCUGUGUGCGGGAGGAAAACGCUGCUGCACCCAGAAGCCGGAAUUGACGCAUGCGGGACGUGGGAGGGAGCUGCAGACACGAGAUAUGGAGUUGAUCAAAAAUGAAGAAAGUCCUGCACCCCUGUCUCCACCAAAAUGGCAGCCGUAUUGAAUUCAACACAAAUGACUUUAAGAAAAUGGCCGCCGCAAUGUAUUAGACAGCGCCACCAAUGUCUGGGCUCUAUGAACGUCCACCUCCGGAGAUGACAGCGGGCGCAUGCGCUGUAGAGCCCCGGGAGGGGGGCGGAAGUACAGAGUAUGCGCACAGAGGGCGCGAGUACACCGGAAGUGUGGUGGAAAUACCGCUCCUGUUCAUUCUAAGAUGAUUUCUUGUAUUUUAUAAGUAUUUGGAACACUUGUUUUUAAUCCAGAUAUUAGUAUUACUGUCUAUUGUAGAUAUUGGUUAUUUUAAUCGUAAUACUAACUCCAGCAACAAUUGGCUCAAUCUCUAGGCAGGAUAUGAUGUCAUAAUUAAGUGUUGAUCAGUACUAGUAUAAAUAGAUGUCCAGUCCCAUUCUGCCUUUACCCCUUGAUGAAGUCUGUGAGACGAAACGCGUUGGACAACCUGUACUGACCUCUAAUCCAGAAAAGAUACUUACCUCUUUUUAAAAUAUCCUGCACUUUACUUAUAUAUUUAUUUAUUUAUUAUUCUUGUGUAUGUGCUUUUUAUCCCAUUUUUUUUAAAGAGAAUUGUAUAUCAA